UACGAAGGGUGCAAGCGUUACUCGGAAUUACUGGGCGUAAAGGGUGCGUAGGCGGUUGUUUAAGUCUGUUGUGAAAGCCCCGGGCUCAACCUGGGAAUGGCAAUGGAUACUGGACAGCUAGAGUGCGGUAGAGGGUAGUGGAAUUCCCGGUGUAGCAGUGAAAUGCGUAGAGAUCGGGAGGAACACCAGUGGCGAAGGCGGCUACCUGGACCAGCACUGACACUGAAGCACGAAAGCGUGGGGAGCAAACAGG
rnacentral:rRNA from 1 species